rnacentral:sRNA from 1 species
AAAAUUGGAUAAGUUUGAAGGAGUUGAUUUUUCGAAGAUGGCAAAAAUGAUAGUAGGAUUUUACUCAAUUAAUCCCUAAAACACUAUCUUGUCGUUGUAGUAUUUUAGGAUGUCAAUCCAAUCCGGUGUGAUGCAAACAGAUGAGAUAUGAUCAGAAAGCUCUAAGUCAAGCCAAGAAGAUAGUUGGUUGGUUCUAACAGUCCUAGUAUGCAAUAACAGAAAUGAAGUGAAAUUAAAAGCAGGAAUGGCAAUAGCAGGCAAGUGAAUGACAAAGCAGAAAUGAUAACAGGCAAUCAAAUGGAUAAACGAUUCCUAAGGAUGGGGUAAUCGAAUAGUGUGGUCUACUUAAUCUAUUCAGGCGGUUGACAAAACUUCACAGAAGCUAUCCCUAGACAACAAGUUCAACAACAGAUUAAUUCACUCCCGUGAUAGAAAUCCUCAAGCAAAGCUAGACACUGACUUAAAUCCCUUUAGCGAUCUCUAACUAAGCAGGCAUUAUCGAAUCAACAUGUUAAAGUCAAUACCCUCUCUACAGCCAAUCCCUUGGGGUAGAGUCAGAUAUCUCUGGAAUUAAUAGGAUCCAACGCCCAUUAAACGCCUUCUGAGCGCUGGACGUCUGGACUCAUACUCCACAUUAGCCAGUGAAAUAAGCAAUAAGCGCAACUAAUCCAGAAGGGAUUCUAGUAUUCUAAACUCAACCACCUAAAACGACCAAGUAAACCACAACUAUUCUAUCCCAUCCUCAGAAAUACAGUUCACUACUCAGACAUAAUCAAAGACAAUAACAAAGCAACAAUUGAAAACAUGAUAACAGAAAAUGACGAAAGACUUAAACGAAAACUGAAUAUCAAAUACUUGAAAACGAAACUACAAAGUCGCAGGAGAAACACUGCGGCUAUCAAAGUUGCAAAAAUGUAAAAGCGAAAUAAAAAGGGAUAAUAGCGGAUGCUAGCCGACGCCCUAGGAAAACCCUAAGAGGUAGUUUAUAUAAGCGAAAAAAUGAAACAAAUAAGGAAACUAAAUAUAUAGCGAAUCUUCACGUCAUGAUCCUGCGACCGAAUGUGUCAUUGGAAUCUGACGGGCUGAAAUGAGCUUCCUAGUGAUCGAGUAUGUCAUUGAUCAAACUGGGCUUCAGGGGCUCCGUCUUGCGAUCGAGUGAAAUGCAGUGAAGUCGAGAUUGAAUGGUCCAGCGACCUUGUGAUCGAGUGAAGCGAUCGAGUGGAUGUCAUGAGGGUGUGAUCGAGUGGUUUCUUCGCCUUCUCUUCUCUUCUUUGUUCUCAACUUGUUUGGUUGAGUGCAGAAUGAGCAGAUAGGCUUCCUGGUGAUAGAGUGGUGAUCGAGUGGUUCUGAUGGGGUGAUUCCUCCGGCUUCGCGAUUGAGUGAAACUGAGCUGUUUGCUUCUCCGGGGUUGCGAUAGAGUGAUUUGCCCUGGCAGGGCUCCGAGGCUGCGAUAGAGUACUUUUGCUGAAGGCGUCAUUGGGCAUUCUGACUUCAUGUUCUGUUUUUCCUCUGUUUGAACUCCAAAAGCAUCCAAAGUACCUGAAAACAACCAAAUAUGCCAUGCACAUGCAAUCCUAAUGCAAAAUCGUCCUAAAUAUGUAAAACACACUAAAACGACUCCUAAUGAGAUGAAAUGUGGAUGAAACAAUGACAAAGUGGUGAAGAAUGAAUGCCUAAAUCAUGCAAAUUAUAGACAUAUCAACUCCCCCAAACUUAGUCUUUGCUUGCCCUCAAGCAAACAAGAAGACAUAAGCAGAAGGAGAGGUUUGAAGUUGGGGAUUCAGAACCAAAGCAUGAGAUAUGACAAUUAAGAUCAAUGUACCAGCUAACAGUUCUAAGAUGCGAGGUGAUCGACUUCUACUCAAAAACUUUAGCCAUGCUCUGUUAUGAUCCAAACCUACACUCAAAUGCACAAUGCGUCAAGAUCAACCAAUCCCUUUAACAUUCAUUAAGUUCAAAAACAUGAAUCAAGAUAUGCAUCGCUAGUGAACUCAUUUGGCUAAUGACAGGUUAUGAGACAAAGAUGGUCCCUUUUUAGUGGUUCAGAUUUUAAUAGCAGAGGACUCUCAAUGAAAAAGGACUGAGCUUUAGAAGAAUGCUAAAGGUAAGUGCCAACCCAUGUAUACAAGAAUAGCACCCCAUCUACCCAAUGACAUAAACCGUGAAUAACAAGUAGAUGGUCCUAUCUCUAAACCCAAUGAUGAUCCUAAGUCUACCCUUUUGCAAUAAAAGCAUAAUUCGAUUUUUUCUUGGAUCAAUGUUUCCUUUUCUUUUCUUUGGCUCUUGUUCUUAAGGAGAAGCUUUUCUUAAACUCUAUGAGUCUAGUCUAGUGAAUUGGUUUUUUUCUUAAACUCUUAUGGCUCUUAUCAUCAUUUUUUUUUUUCUUUUUCUGUUUUUGUUGCCAUCUAUUUUUUUUAGAGCAUAUCUUAACAAUUCUAUGCUUCCCAAACAUUCACUAGACCACAAUAUGAUUUUCAGCUUCUUUCUCCUAAAGACUCUAACCCAUCUUUUUUUUUUU